rnacentral:rRNA from 1 species
CCUACGGGCGGCAGCAGUGGGGGAUAUUGCACAAUGGGGGAAACCCUGAUGCAGCGACGCCGCGUGGGUGAAGAAGCGCCUCGGCGCGUAAAGCCCCGUCAGCAGGGAAGCAAAUGGCGGUACCUGAAGCAGAAGCCCCGGCUAACAACGUGCAAGCACCCGCGGUAAUACGUUGGGGGCCAGCGUUAUCCGGAUUUACUGGGUGUAAAGGGGGUGCAGACGGGGAUGCAAGCCAGGAGUGAAAUCCCGGGGCCCAACCCCGGGACUGCUCUUGGAACUGCGUGGCUAGAGUGCAGGAGGGGCAGGCGGAAUGCCUGGUGUAGCGGUGAAAUGCGUAGAUAUCAGGAGGAACACCGGUGGCGAAGGCAGCCUGCUGGACUGCAACUGACGUUGAGGCCCGAAAGCGUGGGGAGCAAACAGGAUUAGAUACCCGGGUAGUC